UAAACGCUGGCGGCGUGCUUAACACAUGCAAGUUCGAACGAUGAACGCCGGUGCUUGCACCGGUGAUUAGUGGCGAACGGGUGAGUAACACGUGAGUAACCUGCCCUUAACUCUGGGAUAAGCCUGGGAAACUGGGUCUAAUACCGGAUAUGACUCCUCAUCGCAUGGUGGGGGGUGGAAAGCUUUUUGUGGUUUUGGAUGGACUCGCGGCCUAUCAGCUUGUUGGUGAGGUAAUGGCUCACCAAGGCGACGACGGGUAGCCGGCCUGAGAGGGUGACCGGCCACACUGGGACUGAGACACGGCCCAGACUCCUACGGGAGGCAGCAGUGGGGAAUAUUGCACAAUGGGCGAAAGCCUGAUGCAGCGACGCCGCGUGAGGGAUGACGGCCUUCGGGUUGUAAACCUCUUUCAGUAGGGAAGAAGCGAAAGUGACGGUACCUGCAGAAGAAGCGCCGGCUAACUACGUGCCAGCAGCGCGGGUAAUA
rnacentral:rRNA from 1 species